CUUUCAUUUGAAACACUCCUGUCAAUGUUGAGUAAGGACGCACACCUGAUUACCCAUUUAGAAGUAGGAUUAAUCUAUCUGGCCUGCACACAAAUGUAGGCCUAUAAAUGUGCCCAUUUGGGGAUGUCUGAUAGUAUUUCUGAUUGUCUUAACGCACCAACACUAAUGAGUUGUGGAGCUUCUCAAAGCAAUGCUUUAUUCACCUCAAACAGCAAGUAAACAAAGUCUAAUCAGAAUCAAUUGCAAAUGACAAUAGUUCCUCAAAGUAUUUUUGUAAAAUAUUUCUAGCUCUCGCCCUUUCGAUAACCACUCGGCAUAAAAGGGAAAAAUGUAAUGCUCUGAUCCAGUGGAAAUGUCAUAAAAAACCUGAUUACUUCUUAUCCUUUUCACAAAUAGCCUACACCUACUGUGUCUGUCCAGAACUCAUUGGAGCAGGAAACUGAGGGCCUAGAAUAUUGUAUACAAUGGUGCAAGCUUGCUAUACGAGUUUCCUGACCCAGUUGAUACAAUGUUUCAAGUUUGUUGUAGACAGGCCAUUUAUCGGGAUAUUUUCUACCUGCAGAAAGCAAUGUUUUUAUUUGUUGGCUUUAUGUAGGCUUUUUUUUUUACAUAGUUGGCAAUGGCAAUAAAAGUUACUUUUAGAUAUCUAUAAUUCUCAUUUAGAUUUAGAUAGAAUGUAGAUUAAUCACAGACAAUAAUUUUGAGAUACUAUUAUAAAUUAAAUGAAACUGUUCCACGAAAAUGUGCAUAUGAAAAUCAUAACUGGCACACAGAUUGGUAGAAAUGGUCAGAUACAUUUGCACUCCAACUGGAAAAGGUUGCAUACAGCUGGUGUAGUCUAUUACUAGUCUAUCUAUCUGUCCAGCAGCGGAGGGGGGAGGCUCCCUCCGGUCAGGUUAUGUUGACGAGCGGCUCCCUCCGGUCAGGUUGUGUUGACGAGCGGCUCCCUCCGGUCAGGUUGUGUUGACGAGCGGCUCCCUCCGGUCAGGUUGUGUUGACGAGCGGCUCCCUCCGGUCAGGUUGUGUUGACGAGCGGCUCCCUCCGGUCAGGUUGUGUUGACGAGCGGCUCCCUCCGGUCAGGUUGUGUUGACGAGCGGCUCCCUCCGGUCAGGUUGUGUUGACGAGCGGCUCCCUCCGGUCAGGUUGUGUUGACGAGCGGCUCCCUCCGGUCAGGUUGUGUUGACGAGCGGCUCCCUCCGGUCAGGUUGUGUUGACGAGCGGCUCCCUCCGGUCAGGUUGUGUUGACGAGCGGCUCCCUCCGUGUUAAUCAGGGAACGGUUUCUCAAAACCAUCUUAUGGUUAAAUUCAUCGUUAGAACCAUUGGAUGCCUGAAGAUGCGUUUGGGAAACCGGGCCCAGAUAUCCAGGUUCC